UAUUGGACAAUGGGCGCAAGCCUGAUCCAGCAAUGCCGCGUGUGUGAAGAAGGCCUUCGGGUUGUAAAGCACUUUUAUCGGGAGCGAAAUCGUUUCGGCUAAUACCCGGAGCGUCUGACGGUACCCGAUGAAUAAGCACCGGCUAACUCCGUGCCAGCAGCCGCGGUAAUACGGAGGGUGCAAGCGUUAAUCGGAAUUACUGGGCGUAAAGCGUGCGUAGGCGGUUCGUUAAGUCCGUUGUGAAAUCCCCGAGCUCAACUUGGGAAUGGCAGUGGAUACUGGCGGGCUGGAGUGCGGUAGAGGAGGGUGGAAUUCCCGGUGUAGCGGUGAAAUGCGUAGAGAUCGGGAGGAACAUCAGUGGCGAAGGCGGCCCUCUGGACCAGCACUGACGCUGAGGCACGAAAGCGUGGGGAGCAAACAGG
rnacentral:rRNA from 1 species